UUGGGAAUUAGUUGGAAUGUGUGCGUAUUUAUUAAUAGGUUUUUGGUUCACACGAUGAAAUUCUCCCACAGACUUAAAUCACACUGUUUUCAGUGUGAAAUAAAUCGAGUUUCGAUGAGAGAAAUGCAUAAAUGUAUGGAAAAAGGUAAGAAAAAGAGAACUAACCUGGACGCGGGAUGCAAUGAUUGAUGCAGAUGUUGGCGGGAUGCAUUAGGUGAUGGUGGUGAGGAUGCAAAUGAUGCUGUGAUGGACGAAUGAUGAAUGAACUUCGAAUGGGAUGCUGACUGGAAUGAACCAGAUCGAUGCAGGAAGAUGCUAAAAAGUGAUGUGGGAAGUGGUGGGUGGGGUGGAAUGAGUCAUGGUGAGGUGAAAUGGGUGAAAUUGGGUUGGAGGUCGUUAGAAUGACCAGUGGUCAGGGUCUGGGCUCACGCGACUGGGGGUGAAGCAUGUUUGGCCUCGGUCACGAGUACGAGAACGUGGUCGAGGGAUGGUUAGCCGCGGUCCGGGCUCAUACGACCGUGAAGGCUUAGAUGCGGCCUAAUCCUGCUUCUCCUUGGUUCCUGGUGGGCCGAGCAGUUGGGAAUCAAUCUUUCUUUUUGGUUUUUUUUGGUUUUUU
rnacentral:lncRNA from 1 species